GCGCGCCCCGGGACGGGGCGGCCCGCCGGCUCCGGGGGCCGGCGGGCCGCCCGGUCCGUGCGGGCGGCGGGUC
rnacentral:tRNA from 1 species